rnacentral:rRNA from 1 species
UACGUAGGGUGCAAGCGUUAAUCGGAAUUACUGGGCGUAAAGCGUGCGCAGGCGGUUUUGUAAGUUUGUCGUGAAAGCCCCGGGCUCAACCUGGGAAUUGCGAUGAAGACUGCAAGGCUUGAAUCUGGCAGAGGGGGGUAGAAUUCCACGUGUAGCAGUGAAAUGCGUAGAGAUGCGGAGGAACACCGAUGGCGAAGGCAGCCCCCUGGGCUAACACUGACGCUCAGGCACGAAAGCGUGGGGAGCAAACAGG